AAUUUCCCCCCUCAAUAUUUUACCCCUUACAUCACUCGGUAGAUUUUAACUAGUGAAUAUUUACAUUCUCUUCUCCUGUAAAUUUCCAUUCAGAGGGAUUGGUCAGGAGAAAAAUGUUUUAGUGGAAAAAUUUGAACCAGGGACGAGCAGGUAAAAUUUCACUGUUCGUUGUUGGCCGCUCCCUCUAAUAUUUUACCAAGGCCGUAAAAUAUCACGCGAGGGUCAACUGGUCACUGGUACACUGCAGGGGCGCCACCCAGAAAUUUCGUAUGAGAGGUCCAUCAUUUGUAUUUUAUCGGUUGUCUUACAAUUAUAAUUAUAGUUAAAUUCAUAACCAACGGAUUACCGUUAAUAAUACUCGUAACAGUCACACGCCUAUAUAUAUACACAUUUACAGAAGGGUUUACCGCGUAUUUUAUAGACCCCCCCCUCCCCCCUCGGGUAUACCGGUCGUUACAGUAUUAGUGA